GGGAAAGUUGCAAAGUACUUUGAAGAGAGAGUUAAACAGGGCGUGAAACCGCUAGCUGGUAAACGAGUGGAGCCACGAAGUCGUUUCGUAGAAUAAGGGUUACAAAUUCAGUUGAGGUUUUCGCAAGAUGGCCUUAAUGCAUUUUUGUUUUACCCUCUAUGUAUGCGUACACUGCAACCAAUUAGACAAUCAAUUGUGGAAACAAUUAGCCGAUACAAGGAGAAAUCUUUGUGUUAGUUAAUGAAAUGCUUAUAUACUAGCUAUAGGUAGCUUGAUUUAAUCCUCGUGGUUAUCUUGAGUGUCUGAUACGCUAAUAUGAGAACUACAAUUGAAUACUGAUUGGCACAAUGAAAAUCCAUUUGCAAAAAUGGUAUUUAGAUAAUACUACCCGUGUUGUAUGUGUGUACAAGUGUUUAUUAUUAGUGUAAGCUUAAUAGUUUAAAUUUAGACUGGUAGGCUAUCUUGGAUUUCGGUUCUUGAUGCCUAUUUAGCUUCUAUCUAAUUGGCUAUUGACUUUGCUAGUAUUGUUAUACUUGAAAUGAUAGCAUAUAUGCAACGAUGGGCAAGUUAUUUUAUUAGCAGUGAGUAGGUCGGCUUUCCACACGACCC
rnacentral:rRNA from 1 species